GUCGUAAAAGGGGACGCGGAGGAGAAGGAAAGUCGCUCAAGCAGUGGACAGAGCGGAGAAAGCGACUUCGGGUUGGUUGAAGGUUCAGCCUGAGAAAACUCCUGAGCAUGUGCGAAAAAGAAAAGAAGAAAAGAAAAGUAAAGAAAAGAAAAAAGGAAAAAGGGCAAGCUCCUGAGUGGAUCUCUCAGGGAGCCACCAGACAGUGAAUGAAGGAGGGAAGAAAGGAGAGACAGAGAAAAUAUGGAUUUCCUCAUGGUUGUGAUUCCUCUUCACUCUUUUGAAUUUGGAAGGAUGGCAUACACAUCUGAAAAAUACCACUACUUCCUUCAUUGGACUGCAAGGUAUUUCUGUUUGGAAAAGUAAUGGAGUCCAGUCAACUUCAUUGAUCGCCAAGGACUGUCAAAAUUAUAAAACUUGCUGUGGAGCUCUGACAUGCCAGAAGCCGCUAGAAAAAGAAGUUUGACAUUCAGAAACUUAUCAAGAGGUUCUACUCUUUGGAUAGAGACCAAAAUCAUACUUUGAAAAAGCCUGACAGGUUUCUUCGGAAAAGUGGCCAUCCAUGGAAUGAAUGAAAUGUUCUCUUUCUAUUCCAGGGAUUGCAGUGGCAAAGCUAGGCUAGGUCUUGGAGGCUGGUGUAAGGCGAUGUGGGUGAAGGCAGGAGGCUGAUGGAAAGACUGGGGGGAAGAAAAGCCGAAAUGGAUUCACGGUGCCUUGGAUGAAGGACGAGAGGGGAACUGCAAGCUCCUUCAACUGGUUCUGUCCGGUGAGAAGUGAUCAAGCUUGGGCUGACAAGAGGCUCAGGGAGCCCUCACGUUCUUUCGCUUUUUUACCUGCCAAUCAAACUGCUACAAGACAACACCCUGAUCUGGCAUGGACAUCGCGGGUCCAAGCCUGUAGCCCCAAAUCGGAUAAUCUCUGCAGCUGAUAACAAGCAAAAGAGAAGCCAGGCAACAGCCAUAUUAAAGAAGAAAACAAUCAACUCUGAGCAGGAAGAAAUGUAAUGAAUUGAGUGCUGUCAGAGAUGUCUUCUGUUUGAACAAUCUGCGAUGGGCUGAAUGGCAGGGACUCCCUCAUCCAGUGCAGAUCCAACUUAGAAAUAAUGUUUCAUUCAAGAUAAGGCUCGUGGCUUAGGAGAUUGUGACCUGGCUUGCAUCAUUCUAAGACUUCUAUCGUCUGUUUUCAAAACCCAAGGAGGACCUCCUUUUCUGUGUGAUAGUUCCUCAUGCUUUGCCAGCCACUGGGUCUUUAAGGAAGCUUGCCAAGAGUUCCCGGCUGGGAAGGACAGUUCGAGUUCAUCAUAGACAAUGAGCUGGCACCACAGUUUAAGUGACUCACCAACCUGGUUGCCCACUUCAAAAUGUCAAGAACCACACUAUCUAAUUGAAAGAACUGUGUUUUAGCAAAGUGUAAUUGGAUCGCCUGGCAAGAUCAUCUCAAACUAUGUCUCUGACCUUGCCUUUCAGUGGCUAUUUUGAGCACAAGAGGAGAAAGGAAAUGAUUCCUGAAUUAUAUCUUGUUUUUAAAAAUUAAGAUUAAUUAAUACUUGGUUUUAUGUUCAUUCCAUUGUAGGAACUUAGUGAUUAUUACAAAACAGUCAAAAUAGGUCAUAGCAAAAUGAACGUUUAAGAUUAGGUUAAAACAUUCCUCUGAAAUUUUAGUAUUCACUUUUGAAGUGUCAAUUACUAUAUUUCUGUAAUUUCUCAUUUUUUUCUUGGCUUAGAGUCAAGAUGAAAAAUGAUAUUUGAAUCAAAGACAUUGUUUUGUUAUAUAGCCACUCCUUUCUAAAAUGCAAAUCCACCCUCCCCUCACCAAUGCUUUAUUCUUUGUGCGCGCACACACACACACACACACACACACACACACACACACACACAGACAUACACAGAACCAGCACCCAAAUGGUAGAGGAGGUCCUUCCAAGACUUCUAGGACCUGGAUCAUGUAAGCAGUAGAUGAGAAAAUGAAGUAAGAGAUAUAGAGUAAUAACAAUAAAAGUCAAUGAUUUCAUUUUACAAAAAAGUCAUUGUGUAGUACUCAGAUAUUUUUAAGAGCAAGUAUUAUUAUGACUAAAGUAUAUUAUACUUCUAAAUUAUUAUGAUUCUCAUCUAAUUUCAAGCCACACAUAGGCGCCAUUUGAAAGCAUUUUGUGUUACAACCUAUCAACAAAAAUCAACUAAUAGUUUUAUAACGUGCAUAGGUUUACCCCAUGGGGAAUUAAAAUUUUUAUCUGCAAGUAUUUCUGUUGUUGUGAGACUUUAGGACAAGACAACAUUUGGUGUUAACAUAGAAGAAUAUUCUAUGGCUUUUUUAGCUUUAAAGUUCAUUACUCUAAAAUAAAGUACACGUGGUAUUUUUUUCUUCCUAGUGUUCUCUUAUUAUAUGUAGAGUAUUUUCGGUUGUUGUUUUUAACGUAUACAUUAUUUUUAUUAAGUCAUUUCAUAAAAGAUAAGAUAUAUACUAAUAGACCCUUGGUUUUCUCCUAAUUUAAUUAUUUCAAGUCAAGCAAAAUUGGGCAAUUUUCUUUCAGGAAAAAAAAAAUAUUGAGCAUGAUUUUGAGGUAAAACUGAUUAUUUACAGCAUCUUUUCUCUAAUAGGCUAACAUUUAUGAUGGAUCUUAUUUCAAAGUUGAUUAUUCUCAAAGAAAAGUGGAGAUAUUAGAAUUUCCGAGUAAAUUGCAUUGUUUUAAAAAGUACUUUAAUGCAUUGUUCACAUUGUUGCCAGCUAUUGACCAAAAAAGAGAAGAAGAAAAAAGAAAUAAAAAAAGCAGUAUCUGCUCCAAACGUCAAGUUUUGCAGUUUGAAAGACUUGUACAUUAUAAUUGUUUUUUUCUUUUUUGGAAAGCAGUAGUAAUUAAUACCAAAGGCAUAGACAAUUUAGGGCCAUAACCUCCCUUCCCCCCUCUCCACCUUUUUUUUUUUUUUUUUUUUUUUUUAACUUUAACCAUGAUAGGCAUCUCUGCAAGGUAGGUUUUAACAUAUUUUUUUCCUAAUUUUUUUCCCUCCAUUCAGUAAGAAGGAUAAGCUUUUAGAGUACCCAGUCACCGUGGUAACUGCCAAAAAAAUUCUCCUGAAGUUUGAAGAGGUCAGCUAGCAGGGUCAACAACCCUGGCCUCUCUCUGAGCUCGGUCUAGCAUGCCCCAGCCUGCGGUUGGAGUGUCAGGCCAGAUCUGACCCUGGGAGGUGGACCAUUCUGGCUCUGAUAUAAAUUUUUCGAGUCAGUUCAUGGCCUGGACUCUCCAGGUGGCCUCCAAAAUCGAUUUUGACCCCCUGACCCUGUCUCACGGAGGCAUAGCAUCCACCCUAAGUAAGGAUUUAGCCAGGAAUGACAGCUUUCCACUGAGUGUUAUUGGGGACAGUAUAAACAGUUUGGAAAGCAAGUAAGGAGGUGUGAGGGCUAGCAAUCAUUAAAAGCACAUUAAAAAACAAUUUUUAAAAAUCUUUAUUAGAGAAAGUUGUAAAUGCAUAUCUGUUACAGAAUUCCUGUGAUUUGUAGAGUUUUCUAGUCAGUUUUGAAUAUAAAUAGGUCACAUAUCUUUAUCUUUUUGCAUACUUUGUUACAAAUAUGCAAAUAAGAUAGGCAUACUUGCUACAAAAUAGGUACAGCAGGAAUGUAAUAUGUUCAGAAAAGGCAAACUGGUUAUUAAAACACAUUAACAGGUAAGGAGUUUCUAAUAUUUUAAAUACUAAAAUUUUACAUGUGUAUUUUGAAGUUUUUAAAAUGGAAAAAUAAAGAACCUUUAAAAAACCCAACAGUGUGGAAUAAAGAUAAACUUGUUGCACUCAAGGUACAUUUCUACUUUGUAAAGCAAGAAGCCAAUACACUCAGUUGGAUAAAAAUGAGAGAAAAAUUGUAAAUAUAGAGAGUUACAGCUUAUAGAGCUGAAGAGGAAUAAAACAAAAAAAAGUGUCUCUGAAUAACUUUAUGUAUUUUCAACAGUUUAAGAUAUCAGAAACUUGGAAAAUAAAUAUGAUAUAUAUAUAAAUCAUCA
rnacentral:lncRNA from 1 species